rnacentral:lncRNA from 1 species
UUUUUUUUUGGGAAAACUUCAAAAAAACCCCACGUGGUUUCGUUGUUUCUCACUUUGCCCCCCUGUGGUUUAAAAUGUAUCAAAUUGUCUCCAUGUGAUUUCGUUUUUAUCUUUUCGGUAGCUUUUUCGUUAAUAUUUCAUUAAAUUAUAUACAAAAAACUUCAGAUACCCAUCUAGAUUUAUCAAAUAUUUACUUUAGUACCCUUUAAUUUUAACUUUAUCACUGAUUUAAGAAAAAAAAUAAUGAAAUUGAUAAGAAAAAGAGAAAAAAGAAACCACGGGGGGGCAAAUUGAUACAUUUUAAGGAAAAGUCUACCUGUACUCCUAUAGAAAGGUGUAUAUCCUACAACUAUCAGAUCCAAUGGCUGAUAUUAAUCCACUAGCACAGUAGCUUCUAACCUCACACCUUU